UACGUAGGGGCCAAGCGUUGUCCGGAUUUAUUGGGCGUAAAGAGCUCGUAGGCGGUUCGGCAAGUCAGCUGUGAAAUCUCCACGCUCAACGUGGAGGGGUCAGCUGAUACUGCUGUGACUUGAGUCCGGUAGGGGAGUGUGGAAUUCCCGGUGUAGCGGUGAAAUGCGUAGAUAUCGAGAGGAACACCUGCGGCGAAGGCGGGUUGCUGGGCUGACACUGACGCUGAUGCGCGAAAGCCAGGGGAGCGAACGGGG
rnacentral:rRNA from 1 species